GGAUUGCCUCAGUAACGGCGAGUGAAGCGGCAAUAGCUCAAAUUUUAAAUCUGGCGCCCGCCCGAGUUGUAAUUUGUAGAGGUGGCUUCGGAGCCGCGCCGGCCUAAGUUCCUUGGAACAGGACGUCACAGAGGGUGAGAAUCCCGUACGUGGCUGGGCGCCUAUCCAUGUGUAGCCCCUUCGACGAGUCGAGUUGUUUGGGAAUGCAGCUCUAAAUGGGAGGUAAAUUUCUUCUAAAGCUAAAUACCAGCCAGAGACCGAUAGCGCACAAGUAGAGUGAUCGAAAGAUGAAAAGCACUUUGAAAAGAGAGUUAAAAAGUACGUGAAAUUGUUGAAAGGGAAGCGUUUGUAGCCAGACCUGACUGUAGUUGCUCAACCGGUCUCUGCCCGGUGCACUCUUCUAUAGUUAGGCCAGCAUCAGUUCGGGCAGCCGGAUAAAGGCUUGGGGAAUGUGGCUCCUCGGAGUGUUAUAGCCCCUCGCACAAUGCGGCUUGCCCGGACUGAGGGAAGCAUUCUAUGGAUGCUGGCUUAAUGGCUGCCAACGGCCCGUCUUGAAACACGGACCAAGGAGUCUAACAUCUAUGCGAGUGUUUGGGUGUCAAACCCGUGCGCGUAAUGAAAGUGAACGGAGGUGGGAGCAUUUUUGCGCACCAUCGACCGAUCCUGAUGUCUUCGGAAGGAUUUGAGUAUGAGCAUAGCUGUUGGGACCCGAAAGAUGGUGAACUAUGCCUGAAUAGGGUGAAGCCAGAGGAAACUCUGGUGGAGGCUCGCAGCGGUUCUGACGUGCAAAUCGAUCGUCAAAUUUGGGUAUAGGGGCGAAAGACUAAUCGAACCAUCUAGUAGCUGGUUCCUGCCGAAGUUUCCCUCAGGA
rnacentral:rRNA from 1 species